rnacentral:piRNA from 1 species
UGCAAAUGAUUAAUAAUAUGAGGGAGGUGU